rnacentral:rRNA from 1 species
UACGGAGGGUGCAAGCGUUGUCCGGAUUUAUUGGGUUUAAAGGGUGCGUAGGCGGUUUUUUAAGUCAGUGGUGAAAGCCUCCAGCUUAACUGGAGAAAUGCCAUUGAUACUGGGAGACUUGAGUACAGACGAGGUAGGCGGAAUUGACAGUGUAGCGGUGAAAUGCAUAGAUAUUGUCAAGAACACCGAUUGCGAAGGCAGCUUACUAGACUGUAACUGACGCUGAGGCACGAAAGUGUGGGGAUCAAACAGG